UCCUUUUAAAGCUUUCUUUCAUCAGUCCCCGGAGCUCUGAAUAAGUACUCCCUUCUAAUAGUGGGCUGCGAUAACCUUAACCCACACCUAGCCCAUCCCCAUCUGUCCAUCGGUGCACCUGCACAGAGCACGCUCACACUGGCAUGAAAGCCUGUGAGUGGGUGUUUUCUAGACAAUUUAAAGCAAAAAGAGCUACCUGAGCAUUGUACCUCUUAUAAAACACAGCCCCCAUUAGGCAAACCCGACAAGCACUUCUUCAGAGCUCCCACAUUUGCAAGUAGUAGUUGUGUUGUGUUGCACUACUUCCUGAUUUUUGUUUUUUGCAUGUUCUGUUUCUUUUUUGUUUGUUUGCUUUUUGUUUGUUUUUUUAAAUUCGUUUUAUUUUCCACUUUUCUUGUUGUUGUCGUCAAAUAAGCCUCUCCAUCUGCAGUAGGGGCCUCAUCUGUACUGCUUGUGUGCUCUGCAAACACACACGUUCAAGCAAAUACACACAGACAAUUUCCGCAGCACCUAACAGCCGGAUAAAAAGAGAAUAAAUCAUGUGAGGAAACAGUUCUAGGCUACACUUGUCAGGGUGAGAGACGCAGGAAAAUAAAAAAAGAAGAUCACAGAAGCUGUCUAAAAAUGGCCCCUGAUCGGCGGCUCUCCUGUUGCCACGUGUCAAGCAAGAGCCAGGGAAGCAAGGCCAGGUUUUUGAAUGCCAGAGUGACGCAUGUGUGCCCCAUUUUAAACCUGGAAAUUUCAGCACAAUGCUGGCACACCGGCCUCACGCAGCUGGCAAUCAUUUACUGGUAGUUCUGUAUCGAGGUACGCUGAGGACACACGGGCGAGCACAUGAAAAAUAUUUCCACCACACGGCAUGUGUGUCUUAAUUGAAUUGAGGAAAACAUUCAACAUGACAACACGACGAAAGACGCAAAUAGAUGCGUAAAAUUAUCUCAAUUAUUGUAAUAGCAGUGUCUACUACUAUAGCAAGAACCAAUAUAAUCCUUCCCCACCUCUUUUUUCAGACUCUGCUCCUCCAUAUUUUUCUUUUUUUUACUUUUGUCUUACUGCCUCAAUGUAAAAAAAAACCCCUUACAUUUCUUUGAAGUUAAACAUUUUCAUGCUGCCUAUAAAAGUGCUAUCUAAAAUCAAGAUUAGAGCUCUCAUUGUAAGAAAUGACUGCUCCCAUUUCAAAUUAAAAAAAGGAAAAUAAAUCCUUUCUCCAAGAUCCCCCUUCCAUCAUUAACCAUGGGUCUGGUCCCACCACUUGUGCGCUUUAUUGCCCCUCAUAGGCCAGCAGCGUGUGCACUUCCUGUGAGUCACUGACUCUUCCUGUAAUUGGCAUGCAGCAGCAGUAGCAGCAGGAAGCAGAGCUGCUCUUUAAAGAUGCAUGUGGGACAAGGAGCCGGAGAAACACUGACGUCAGCCUUUGCUGUCUGUCUCCGUCUGUCCCCCCCCCCGCUCCACCCCCUACCCGACUCUUUCUCUCACCUCCUCUCCAGCCCAUAUAAAGAUCCCUCCAGCAAAUGCCAGGUAUGAGCAGGGCCUCGGACACAGUUAGCCCUUGUAAUCACCAGCUGUGCUGCAUUCAGUGCAGUCAUAAAAAUCAUAUGGCUUUUCCGAAUACACACCCAGGCAUUUUCUGAGGGCACGGGGCUGCCGACGUCACUCUGUCCUAAACAGUGGUGCAUUUGUCCCGAUACUAGCGGCCUGCCGUCAGCUUUUUAGCUUCGAUUAUUAUGUUGGUUCUUUAACAUAAAUCCCGGGCCGAGACAGUUUGAGCCGAACUCGAUAAUUAAUUGGGCGUCGUGUUCAGCCGAGGAAAUCUGUGUCUAAAGGGUAUUACACACCCAUGUCAGGCCAGGAUGCUGACACUCGUUAAGGCGUCAGGAGUCUGGUCGAUUCAUGACCUUCUGAACUAUUCAUGCGACGCACAUCGUUGCAUGUCCUUGCACAUAUUAAGCAUGUCCUAAUGCUGGCGGGGUCUCCAGUUGUGAAGUGCUACAUAUUACUGGAGAUUGUGAAGUUGCAGCACCCUCUGCUGUCGCUGUGCUGCAAUCUAUUCAGACUUGCAGCCUGGAGGGGAUCACUUUGGCUGCUGGACCGAUGGGAAGAUUAUGCUCAAGUAGAAUUACACAUUGUUAUGUCGAGGAGCUCUUCAGCUGGAGCACAAGAGUUGGAUCCUUCACCUUGCUGUAGAGGGAACCUGCUUUAAUUCUUAUCACUUAAUUAAUAUUUCAUCUUAUGAAAUUUGCAAACUAGGUCACUGUGAUACGGUGCAGUUCUUAUAAUUAGCUGAUAUUAAGGCGUAAAAAAGGAGGUACAGCAGUUUAAAUGUCCGCUGUGAUUUUGCAGCACGUCAUCUUCGUCUGCUGUCUCUCUGACUCGUUCUGGGCUGAAACACGCUGCUGGUAUCACUGCACCAAAUCAAAGGCAAACAGGACCUGCAAACAGUUCUUGGCAUUAGUUUGUAGCGUCCUAUCUGUUAAAUCCCACCCAUCUGGCAGCCCAAAUUUUUCCCCUAAUUUCCACACUGCACUGACUUCUCUCUCGACCUGUGCACAUCACACGCUCUCUCCCACUGUGGUGACCUCCUGUGAUGUGUGGUGUGACCAGCGGCUUCUGUCCUUUGCUGGCCGUCCAUUGUCUAUUAACAAGCGUCGUGUGGCUUUGUUCUGCAUUGGCUUGCUGCCAGUGGCGCCCACACGAUGGCAGCCAGCAGCUCUCCUACCUGUCAGCCCCCCCUUAUAGACAAUCUCACACUGUCUCUCUUUCUCUUUGUUGUGUGGCGGAUUAGGCUUUAUCUCUUAAAGAGAGAAUACAAACAGAGGUUACCAGACUAGGGUCAAAUGCUAUUUGCAAAUAGUUAGAAGUUUGGUUCUUAUCUGCAUGAAACACCAGGCUGGUGGUGUUGCCACAGCUCAUCAGUAAGACAGAUAUGUAUUAUUCACUGGCAAAUACUUAUCUGUGCUCAUCUGACCUUUCUCACACAUUGUUGUUGUGGUAAACACCUCCUACCUUUUUGCUUUGGUGCCAGUCUGCUUCAGAGAAAUGAUUAUGCACAAUAUGCCACAUGGACUGAAUCUAAAAGGGAAAGUUUUAUAGUUCGUCACAGCCUCCUCUUGAGCACAUAUGAGGAGCUGUAAAGCAGCUGUACUAAUUUAACACUAACCGGCUCAGCUAAUGAUUUGAAACAGUGCAAACAACACCCUGAGACAAGUUUGAGUUGUUCCUACGUCAACACCUCCACACCUGGCUAUCUUUUAAAAUUUAAAAAACAUAUAUAUUGUUUUAAUUAUUACAUUAUUGUAAAAGAGGCUUUAGAAACUGUCAGACUAACAAGGACUUUGUUUAAUCAGACAAAAGAUUUGAUGCAGAUCUUCAGGGAACAACAAACACAGCAAACAUCAUUUAUAUUUCUCUAUAUCAUUUAUAUUUGAUCUGACAUUAAGUUGAUCAGAAAUGUUAAAAUAUAAAAUGCAUUUAAUGGGUAAUGGAAUCAUAUUUCUAGUAGGUCUGAAUUUUGCAGAGAUAACAAAGAUCCAUAAUGUGACAUCAUCCACGUUUAUCAUAUUAAAAUACUACUGUAUCAUGCAAGCACAGCUGAGACUUUGCAGGUUUUGUCUAUAGUCUCCAAAUCUCCUUUAAAAAAUGAGCUUUUUUUCUGAAGCUCAAUAAAGAUAUGCCAAUAACAAAUUUGAUAUUCUAAUGCAAGAGAAUGUAGAUCUCCUUUUAGAAAGCUGAAUAAUCUGGAUGUAGCAGGUACCAUUUAAUAAAGAUGCCAGUUGAGGACCUUUUCUUUCUAUUGUGGUAACAGCCAGAGCCCGCAGGCACCAGGGGCUGUAUGAAAUCUUCAGCUCGAACAGCUGUCAUUUAUUAGAACAAACAUAAAAUGAUUAGAGAUGCACCAAUUGCUGUUUUUUUACUGAUUCCAACAACGUCAAUGACAACACAUUCAAACAAAAAUCAACUUCACUUCAAUGCAGAAUAUUAUUUUCAUAAUAAAGUAGUUGUUAGACUUUACAAUUAAAUAGUCUUCUCUGUGUGAAACUAAUGAAAAUGCAGUGCUGUUCUCCUGGAAGGGAGAAAACGCUGAAAAUGAGUUCUACAUGCACAUUUACCUGAUAUACGAUAUUUAUACGAAAACAAAAGCAGGUGCAGCAGAAUUAUCGAACAAAAUAAAGGUCAGGUACUUCAUUUUUCAGUGUGUUAAAAGCUGCUAAGUAACAGGACAUCGACACUUUUCUGUUUAUCACUCAUCUUCAUAUUUUUCCACUUAACUGCUUUGAUCCUUUGCUCAUACCGAGGCUGCUGGCUUGUGGCGACCUCGUAACUGAACAGAUUUAGCUGUAACCACUUUUUCUUUGUUAGCUUCUUUAAAAUGUCUGACUAGGUGACGGGGAUUUAAGUGUCUUAUUAGGUUUGUUGUUAGGAAUGCUAGAGAGCCACAGAGGGUGAUG